rnacentral:rRNA from 1 species
CCCUUAGAUGUCCUGGGCCGCACGCGCGCUACACUGAGUGUCUGAGAUACGAGUCUGCCUGGUCCGGCAAGGUCUAGGUAAUCGCUAAAAGACACAUCAUGCUUGGGAUAGAUUAUUGCAAAUAUUAAUCUUGAACGAGGAAUUCCUAGUAAGCGCAAGUCAACAGCUUGCGUUGAUUACGUCCCUGCCCUUUAUACACACCGCCCGUCGCUACUACUGAUUGGAUGUUUAAGCGAGGUUCUCGAACUGCUAGCGACUUAGCUUCGGUGAGGUCGCAGUGUGGGAAGUGAACCGAGCUUUGGUGUCUAGAGGAAGUAAAAGUCGUAACA